rnacentral:rRNA from 1 species
GAUGAACGCUGGCGGCGUGCCUAAUACAUGCAAGUCGAACGCAUUGUGGUUGAAAUGAUAUGAAGAACUUGUUCAGAUUUGAUUUUCAACAUUGCAAUGAGUGGCGAACGGGUGAGUAACACGUGGGAAACCUACCUCUUAGCAGGGGAUAACAUUUGGAAACAAAUGCUAAUACCGUAUAAUAAUUAAAACCGCAUGGUUUUAGUUUAAAAGAUGGUCUUGCUAUCACUAAGAGAUGGUCCCGCGGUGUAUUAGUUAGUUGGUGAGGUAAUGGCUCACCAAGACAAUGAUACAUAGCCGAGUUGAGAGACUGACCGGCCACAAUGGGACUGAGACACGGCCCAUACUCCUACGGGAGGCAGCAGUUAGGGAAUCUUCCACAAUGGACGAAAGUCUGAUGGAGCAACGCCGCGUGUGUGAUGAAGGGUUUCGGCUCGUAAAACACUGUUGUAAGAGAAGAAUGACAUUGAGAGUAAACUGUUCAAUGUGUGACGGUAUCUU